CCUUUAGCAUAAUGGUUGAACAAUUACCUAAUCUAAAUUUGAUUUCCCGAAAGUAACAAGAUUUAAUUAUAUUUUGGCUAUAUGUUUCAUUAUGCAGGCAAAAAUAAAAUUAGGAGUGAAAAGCUUUUCAUUUUUACUGAUAUCUGGAUGGCAGUGAAAUAUAUUUAGUAUAGUAAACAAAUAAAAACAUUUAUGUGUUUUUAUACCAAGAGAUUUUUUUUAAAGGAAAUUAUUACUUUUAGUUUUUAAUAAACAAAAAUAAUUUUGUUUUUAAUCCUGAUUUUUAACUGACAAAUGGUUUAAAUUUUUUACAGCUUUUUUAAAAUGUUUAAAUAAGUAUUAAUGUCUUAAUCUAUAGAGAGGAACUCGGCAAAACUUUUUUUCGACUGUUUACCAAAAACAUAGCUUGUAGUUUUUAAUUAUAAGUGACUUCUGCCCAAUGAUUUUUUUUUAAUGGCCGCAGUACCCUGACUGUGCUAAGGUAGCAUAAUAAGUUGGCUUUUAAUUGGAGUCUGGAAUGAAUGAAAUAACGGAAAAAAACUGUCUUUUUAUAGAUCUUAAUAAUUUUCUUAAAUGGUGAAAAUUCCAUUUUAAUAAAAUAGGACGAGAAGACCCUAAGAAUUUUUAAGAAAAAUUUUAGAUAAAUUUUAAUUUUUAGCUGGGGCGGCUUAAGACCAAAAUUAAACGUCUUAAAAUAUUUAUCUGUUUUUAACAGUUCUGAUUAAUAUUACCUUAGGGAUAACAGCAUAAUUUUGUUUUUAGUUUGUGACCUCGAUGUUGGACUAGGAUAAUUAUGAUUAAAAGUCUAAAGAUUUUGUUCUGUUCGAACACUUUUUCCUACGUGAUCUGAGUUCAGACCGGCGUAAGCCAGGUCAGAUUCUAUCCUUUUUUUG
rnacentral:rRNA from 1 species